rnacentral:sRNA from 1 species
GCUGGGUGUGGUGGCGCGCACCUGUGGUCCCAGCUACUCGAGAGGCUGAGGCAGGAGAAUCGCUUGAACCCAGGAGGUGGAGGUUUUAGUGAACUGAGAUCAGUUACUGCACUCCAGCCUGAGUGACAGAGCGAGACUCUGUCUCAA